GAGUAGCUCAGAGGAUAGAGCGCCGGUUUCCUAAACCGAAGGUCGUCGGUUCGAAUCCGACCU
rnacentral:tRNA from 1 species